rnacentral:lncRNA from 1 species
CCAAUCAGCAAAUGUGUUGAUGUUGUGAGUUUCAGGGACGUUCGGCCGAAGACGGAAUUUUGAGCACCUCUCUUGAAAUUCUCGCUCAGUUGCUUUACAUUGUCUCUCAGAUGAACCAAAGAGAUGUUCUCGACUUAGAAGAGAUUGGGAGGUGAGUAGAGGGACAAGGCAUCUUUAGAGGAAGCCAAGUCGAUGAGUGGUAAAGUGGGGGUGGUAAACUUCCCAACUCGCACACCGAGCAUCAAAACCUAGAAGAAGAUUGCGAGU